UUUUUUUUUGGUUUGUGAAUCCAUUGAGAAGUGAACAUGUGUUUGAUCUUAAAUCUUAUGUUAUCUUCUCUCCAAUAGCUUUAGGCCGUGUUCUUGUUCCGGUCAUUGUCGCUGCGACUUGGUCCUGAACAAGGUUUUAUAAACGAUUGAACUGAACACGUAUUUGGAAAUAGCUAGUAUAGUAUAAUAUGAAGGAUGAAAUGAAC
rnacentral:lncRNA from 1 species